rnacentral:rRNA from 1 species
UAGGGAAUCUUCCGCAAUGGGCGAAAGCCUGACGGGGCAACGCCGCGUGAGUGAAGGAGGAUUUCGGUUCGUAAAGCUCUGUUGUUAGGGAAGAAUGAUUGUGUAGUAACUAUACACAGUAGAGACGGUACCUAACCAGAAAGCCACGGCUAACUACGUGCCAGCAGCCGCGGUAAUACGUAGGUGGCAAGCGUUGUCCGGAAUUAUUGGGCGUAAAGCGCGCGCAGGUGGUUUAAUAAGUCUGAUGUGAAAGCCCACGGCUCAACCGUGGAGGGUCAUUGGAAACUGUUAAACUUGAGUGCAGGAGAGAAAAGUGGAAUUCCUAGUGUAGCGGUGAAAUGCGUAGAGAUUAGGAGGAACACCAGUGGCGAAGGCGGCUUUUUGGCCUGUAACUGACACUGAGGCGCGAAAGCGUGGGGAGCAAACAGGAUUAGAUACCCUGGUAGUCCACGCCGUAAACGAUGAGUGCUAAGUGUUGGUCUCAUAAGAGAUCAGUGCUGCAGCUAACGCAUUAAGCACUCCGCCUGGGGAGUACGACCGCAAGGUUG